AGAGAGCUGGUAGUAUCGAUACACUACGGUUCGAAGAGACCUUCUCUCUUUUUAUCUACAACAAAAAUUGACAGCAACUUUAUAUUUGAGAUAGAGCAUGAAAUAAAUGAUACAGAACUGAACAGAAUACUUCAAGAAGAAUGGCAGCGUUGCGAAGAUCCUUUAGAUGGCUGUCUGAAAAGAAGAAAACUAUGACGAUUGCCGUUCCAAAGAGCCCAUCUGGUUUCGGCUUCACUGUGGCAUGGACGAAACCACCUGUUGUGGAGUUCGUGAAUGAAGG